UACGAAGGCAGCGAGCGUUGUUCGGAGUUACUGGGCGUAAAGGGUGCGUAGGCGGUUGUUUAAGUUUGGGGUGAAAUCUCCCGGCUCAACUGGGAGGGUGCGCCGAAUACUGAAUGACUAGAGUGCGGGAGAGGAUAGUGAAAUUCCUGGUGUAGCGGUGAAAUGCGUAGAUAUCAGGAGGAACACCGGUGGUGUAGACGGCUAUCUGGACCGUAACUGACGCUGAGGCACGAAAGCGUGGGUAGCAAACAGG
rnacentral:rRNA from 1 species